rnacentral:tRNA from 1 species
GCCUUCGUGGUGUAGUGGUCAGCACGCUGGGCGCACACUCCAGAGGUCCGUGGUUCAAGUCCCGGCGAAGGCG